CCAGGAAGCAGGAGGAGCCAGGGAUGCGAGUACCCCUCGGGUCUCUCGUCCAGUGACACCAGCCACCGCCCCGCCCCCCCAGCACACUGAGCUGUGCACUCGCCCUGACCCACAAUCCGUCACCUUCCCUCACCCCUGGGAAAACUUGAGAUGGCGGAAAAGCAGCUAACAGAAACACUAAACGGGUGACUGAGCAGAGAGCCAUGCGCGUGGGAGCCAUGAAUUCACAGAGCACUCGAGAGGCUGAGAAGGAGGAUCACAGGUUUGAGGACAGCCUGGGCUGUGGAGCAACAAGUUCAAGGCCAGCCUGGACCACAUAGUGAGACCUUGCCUCAAAAAACCAAACCAAACACAACAACGCCUAUAAGACAUGACGCGAGACAUUCCUUGCUUGAGGACCCAUCCAGUUAACGACUGCUUGGACUUACAACCAAGGCGUGCACUUCAGACUUACAUCCAGCCACUAGGACUUAGGACCCCUUUUUAUAUACAGUUCUGUUCAUCUUGUUGGCUGAGCCUCACUGUCUUUUUUUUGUACAGUACAUCUUGUUCAUACAGCACUGUAAUUGGCUGACUGUACAGCUCAGUACUGUAGUUUUCUGUUGUCACACAUUAGAGCCCUGCAUGUAAGAGUGAUGCAAA